GAAAGUCUGUCACUACUGUGACAUCAUAGGAAGUGGUCAGGCAUGGUCCCUCCUGAUACUCACUGUGUUCAAGGCCCUUUCUGACAACUUGAUGCUUGGGGAGCCACCAAUCCUCAGUUCCAUAGGAAGACACAGCAAAGGGCUUGGAGUGAAGGAGCUGGAGACUGGACAGUAGGAAGCCGACACGCUGGAAGAAGGUAUCUUAACAGGACAGCCAAAUAGACCUGCCUUGGAUGGUCUCAGCCCAUCUCAUACACUUAGUACCCUUCCAUCUGCCUCUGGUCUCCUGCAUGAAGGAUUUAUAUUUGAAAUGGGAACAAGUAGUCACAACCAUGAGAAGACCCAUGAAGGAAGGACUAUUCUCUUCCCAGACUGGUUUAAUUGACAGAGGAGAAGGAGGAAGUGGGACGAGACAGAGAGCACAGCGUGCCUACAACCAGUGGACCCUGGAUGAAGCAAAGACAGGAAUCCAGCUCAGCUCUUCUUGCAACAUCUCUACAAAGUCGCGCUUUUCUAAAUAUGAUUUUAAAAUUAAAAUUCUAAAGAAUGCA
rnacentral:sRNA from 1 species